AUUGAACGCUGGCGGCAUGCUUUACACAUGCAAGUCGAACGGUAACAGGGAGCUUGCUCCGCUGACGAGUGGCGAACGGGUGAGUAAUGCGUCGGAACGUGCCGAGUAGUGGGGGAUAACGCAUCGAAAGGUGUGCUAAUACCGCAUACGUACUGAGGUAGAAAGUGGGGGACCUUCGGGCCUCACGCUAUUCGAGCGGCCGACGUCUGAUUAGCUAGUUGGUGAGGUAAAGGCUCACCAAGGCGACGAUCAGUAGCGGGUCUGAGAGGAUGAUCCGCCACGCUGGGACUGAGACACGGCCCAGACUCCUACGGGAGGCAGCAGUGGGGAAUUUUGGACAAUGGGCGCAAGCCUGAUUCAGCCAUGCCGCGUGUCUGAAGAAGGCCUUCGGGUUGUAAAGGACUUUUGUCCGGGAGCAAAUGCCUGGUGUUAAUAGCAUCGGGAGCUGAGAGUACCGGAAGAAUAAGCACCGGCUAACUACGUGCCAGACGCCGCAGUAAGAC
rnacentral:rRNA from 1 species